rnacentral:lncRNA from 1 species
UACUGUGUGUUUCCGGUUGCAGGAUCUUUGGGAAGCAUGGGUAUUUAUGCAAGUCAUUUCCACCAGAAUGAUGGCCAGGUCCUUAGAGAAAUCACAGAUCCUUCUCAAGCUGACUGGAUUGCAAUCCAUGCCGAGACCUGUAAAAUGACUGUACCGGAGGUUCAAAGAUGUUGGAGUUGGUUCCUUAUGUUACAGCCAGACCAGGCAGGGAAUUUGCCUCGAACACGCUUCCUGCAAACUGACAGCAUCUUUGGCCCGAAGUUGUUAGAACAAAUUCCAGUCACAGAUGAUGAUCAGAUAACAUUCCAGACAUACUGUAAUGCUGUGUCCUGGCUAUCUAAAAGCACCUUGGAGAUCAAAUUAAAAGGAUAUAUCUCUGAAGAUAGUUUUGUUGCCUGGGUGCAAUCCUUCCCACAAGAAAAAAUCAAGUCAAUUCUAAAUUUUCCAGUGAUACCUUCCAACCUGUCCUUCAGUUAA